rnacentral:rRNA from 1 species
GAUGAACGCUGGCGGCGUGCCUAAUACAUGCAAGUCGAGCGAACGGACGAGAAGCUUGCUUUUCUGAUGUUAGCGGCGGACGGGUGAGUAACACGUGGAUAACCUACCUAUAAGACUGGGAUAACUUCGGGAAACCGGAGCUAAUACCGGAUAAUAUUUUGAACCGCAUGGUUCAAAAGUGAAAGACGGUCUUGCUGUCACUUAUAGAUGGAUCCGCGCUGCAUUAGCUAGUUGGUAAGGUAACGGCUUACCAAGGCAACGAUGCAUGGCCGACCUGAGAGGGUGAUCGGCCACACUGGAACUGAGACACGGUCCAGACUCCUACGGGAGGCAGCAGUAGGGAAUCUUCCGCAAAGGGCGAAAGCCUGACGGAGCAACGCCGCGUGAGUGAUGAAGGUCUUCGGAUCGUAAAACUCUGUUAUUAGGGAAGAACAUAUGUGUAAGUAACUGUGCACAUCUUGACGGUACCUAAUCAGAAAGCCACGGCUAACUACGUG